GAUGAACGCUGGCGGCGUGCCUAAUACAUGCAAGUCGAGCGAACAGACGAGGAGCUUGCUCCUCUGACGUUAGCGGCGGACGGGUGAGUAACACGUGGAUAACCUACCUAUAAGACUGGGAUAACUUCGGGAAACCGGAGCUAAUACCGGAUAAUAUAUUGAACCGCAUGGUUCAAUAGUGAAAGACGGUUUGGCUGUCACUUAUAGAUGGAUCCGCGCCGCAUUAGCUAGUUGGUAAGGUAACGGCUUACCAAGGCAACGAUGCGUAGCCGACCUGGGAGGGUGAACGGCCACACUGGGACUGAGACACGGUCCAGACUCCGACGGGCGGCACCGAUAGGGACUCGUCCGCAAUGGGCGAAAGCCUGCCGGAGCAACGCCGCGUGGAUGCUGCAGGUCUUCGGAUCGUAAGACUCUGUUAUUAGGGAAGAACAAAUGUGUAAGUAACUAUGCACGUCUUGACGGUACCUACUCAGAAAGCCACGGCUAACUACGUG
rnacentral:rRNA from 1 species